AUCUUCACCCGCGGCUCCAUUGGAUGAAACAUCAUUUCCUGAGAUAUCACCCUGAAAUGUAUAGGGAGGCAACUGUCACUAUAUCAUGUAGAUGCAGUUACUGAGAUACACAGAGCCUAGAGGCUAGUAAAAGGCAGGGCCCGUUUGUGCCAUAGCCUCCGGUGGAAGAGCGUGGGAGAACAAUAGAACCCUUCCAUGUGUACAACACUGAGUUCAGAGUGUUCAAGGAGCUGGUUCCAAAGUUCUUAGAAAGAUAGCAAAAUCCGUAAUGAUGGGAAAAGAUGGAGUUACCCACUGUGGAUCCAUUCUGCAAUGUUUCUCCUUGAAGUGAGAUCAAAUGCCUGAGCACGAGUUGUCCUGAGGUCUCCUCCUUUUGAAAGAGAUUGGCCAGAAAUCAAUUGCCUGAUUGAAGUCAGCCUUGCUGUUAACUAAAGAUCAAGCCAGAUGGCGCAGGUCACUAAAGAUGACUGGUUCUGCCCCUGCUGGGAACAGUUCUUGGGCCAGCUGCUCUAAGUCCCCCGCCAGCUUUCCACAAAUGUCUGACCAUCUUGUCACCCUCUUCCUGCAGACAUGAUCAGACACAUUCCCUUCCCCUGAGCCUGUCUGUAGGGAACUGUGCAGUGCCAGCAGAGUUCUGGAAGGAUGAAGUGCUGAGUCUCUGUUGGGUACAGACACAUCCAGUUACUGGCAGGACAGAGUAGUGCUGUGGGCAUUUAAUCAAGAUUCUGUUAGGCAGGGAGGUGUGCUGAGGCUGGAGUUCAGCAGGGAAUGAGAGCAAUUGCUUAUAUUUCCUGAGGAGCUACGAUGGCCAGCUCAGCACUAAGUGCUUCAUAUACAUUACUUCAUUUAAUUCCCACAACAUUCCAGUGAGGCUGGUGGGUACUAGUACUGCUACUGUCCCUUUUCACAGAGAAGGAAACUGAGGUUCCAGGUCAUAAAGAAGUUGCUUAAGCAUACAGCUAAGAGCAGGAGAGCCAGGAUGUUAGCCAGUUGGUCUGAUUCCAGAGUAAGGUCUUCAGGUCUUGGAAUCAGAGUUGGUCUGAUUCCGAGGUUGGUCUGUCUGCAAAGACAUCAAGGAGUUCACAGUGCAGUGGGAGAGAGAGACAAGCCAGCUGGGAUUAUAUGAAAUGAUAUGAGGAUAUGAUAUGGUAAUGUGAUAUGAUAUAUUAUAUGAUCUGGUAUAAUGAUAUAUGAUGAUAUGAUAUGGUAUGAUGAUAUGAUAAUAUGAUAUGGUAAGAUAUAUAUGGCCUGUGAUGAGGCUGUGGAAACAGGGAAAUAACACUGGAUGGAGUCUUGUGGGGGCAGGGAGAUCAUGAAAGCAUUUCCAAAGUUGGAGUUCUAGCUGUGUGUCCCCACAGCACCCUAUGAUGGUUAAUGUUAUGUUAACUUGACUGGGCCAUGGGAUGCCCAGAUAUUUGGUCAAUGUUAUUCUGGGUAUUUCUGUGAGGAUGAUUUUGGACAAGGUUAACAUCUAAAUUAAGAGACUGAGGACAGCUGAUUGCCCUCCCCAAUGCAGGUGGGCCUCGCCCAAUCAGCUGAAGGCCUGAAGAGAACAGAAGGCUGAACCUCCUGUGAGUAAAAGUCCUCCUGCCUGGAUGCUUUCAAACUGGGACAUCAGCUUUUUUUCCUGCCUUCAGACUCGAACUGAAGGAUCCACUCCACUCUUCCUGGGUCUCCAGCUUGCAGACUCCCUCUGCAGAUCUUGGGACCUGCCCACCUUUAUAAUUACGUGAACCAAUUCCUUAUAAUGAAUCGCUUUAUUUGCACAC
rnacentral:lncRNA from 1 species